GAUGAACGCUGGCGGCGUGCCUAAUACAUGCAAGUCGAGCGGACAGACGAGACGCUUGCUUGUCUGAUGUUAGCGGCGGGCGGGUGAGUCACACGUGUAUAACCUACCUAUAAUACUGGUAUCACUUCGGAAAACCGGCUCUAAUCCCGGAUAAUCUUUUGAACCGCAUUGUUCAAUAGUGAAAUACGGUCUUGCUGUCACUUCUAGAUGCAUCCGCGCUGCAUGAGCUGGUUGUUACGGUCACGGCUUUCCACGGCAACGAUGCAUAACCGACCGGAGAGGGUGAUAGGCCACCCGGGAACGGAGACGAGGUCCAGAGUACUAAGGGAGGCAGCAGAAGGGAAUGGGCCGCAAUGGGCGAAAGCAUGACGGAGCAAGGCCGCGUGAGUGAUGAAGGUCUUGGGAUCGUAAAACUGUGUUAUGAGGGAAGAACAUAUGUGUAAGGAAAUGUGCACAGCUUGACGGUACCGAAUCAGAAAGCAACGGCUAACUACGUG
rnacentral:rRNA from 1 species